UACGUAGGGCGCAAGCGUUGUCCGGAAUUAUUGGGCGUAAAGAGCUCGUAGGCGGUCUGUUACGUCCGCUGUGAAAACCCAGGGCUUAACCCUGGGCUUGCAGUGGAUACGGGUAGACUAGAGGCAGGUAGGGGAGAAUGGAAUUCCCGGUGUAGCGGUGAAAUGCGCAGAUAUCGGGAGGAACACCGGUGGCGAAGGCGGUUCUCUGGGCAUUACCUGACGCUGAGGAGCGAAAGUGUGGGGAGCGAACAGG
rnacentral:rRNA from 1 species